rnacentral:rRNA from 1 species
GGGUUGUGAGGUUAAGCGACUAAGCGUACACGGUGGAUGCCCUGGCAGUCAGAGGCGAUGAAGGACGUGCUAAUCUGCGAUAAGCGUCGGUAAGGUGAUAUGAACCGUUAUAACCGGCGAUUUCCGAAUGGGGAAACCCAGUGUGUUUCGACACACUAUCAUUAACUGAAUCCAUAGGUUAAUGAGGCGAACCGGGGGAACUGAAACAUCUAAGUACCCCGAGGAAAAGAAAUCAACCGAGAUUCCCCCAGUAGCGGCGAGCGAACGGGGAGCAGCCCAGAGCCUGAAUCAGUGUGUGUGUUAGUGGAAGCGUCUGGAAAGGCGCGCGAUACAGGGUGACAGCCCCGUACACAAAAAUGCACAUACUGUGAGCUCGAUGAGUAGGGCGGGACACGUGGUAUCCUGUCUGAAUAUGGGGGGACCAUCCUCCAAGGCUAAAUACUCCUGACUGACCGAUAGUGAACCAGUACCGUGAGGGAAAGGCGAAAAGAACCCCGGCGAGGGGAGUGAAAAAGAACCUGAAACCGUGUACGUACAAGCAGUGGGAGCACGCUUAGGCGUGUGACUGCGUACCUUUUGUAUAAUGGGUCAGCGACUUAUAUUCUGUAGCAAGGUUAACCGAAUAGGGGAGCCGAAGGGAAACCGAGUCUUAACUGGGCGUUAAGUUGCAGGGUAUAGACCCGAAACCCGGUGAUCUAGCCAUGGGCAGGUUGAAGGUUGGGUAACACUAACUGGAGGACCGAACCGACUAAUGUUGAAAAAUUAGCGGAUGACUUGUGGCUGGGGGUGAAAGGCCAAUCAAACCGGGAGAUAGCUGGUUCUCCCCGAAAGCUAUUUAGGUAGCGCCUCGUGAAUUCAUCUCCGGGGGUAGAGCACUGUUUCGGCAAGGGGGUCAUCCCGACUUACCAACCCGAUGCAAACUGCGAAUACCGGAGAAUGUUAUCACGGGAGACACACGGCGGGUGCUAACGUCCGUCGUGAAGAGGGAAACAACCCAGACCGCCAGCUAAGGUCCCAAAGUCAUGGUUAAGUGGGAAACGAUGUGGGAAGGCCCAGACAGCCAGGAUGUUGGCUUAGAAGCAGCCAUCAUUUAAAGAAAGCGUAAUAGCUCACUGGUCGAGUCGGCCUGCGCGGAAGAUGUAACGGGGCUAAACCAUGCACCGAAGCUGCGGCAGCGACGCUUAUGCGUUGUUGGGUAGGGGAGCGUUCUGUAAGCCUGUGAAGGUGUGCUGUGAGGCAUGCUGGAGGUAUCAGAAGUGCGAAUGCUGACAUAAGUAACGAUAAAGCGGGUGAAAAGCCCGCUCGCCGGAAGACCAAGGGUUCCUGUCCAACGUUAAUCGGGGCAGGGUGAGUCGACCCCUAAGGCGAGGCCGAAAGGCGUAGUCGAUGGGAAACAGGUUAAUAUUCCUGUACUUGGUGUUACUGCGAAGGGGGGACGGAGAAGGCUAUGUUGGCCGGGCGACGGUUGUCCCGGUUUAAGCGUGUAGGCUGGUUUUCCAGGCAAAUCCGGAAAAUCAAGGCUGAGGCGUGAUGACGAGGCACUACGGUGCUGAAGCAACAAAUGCCCUGCUUCCAGGAAAAGCCUCUAAGCAUCAGGUAACAUCAAAUCGUACCCCAAACCGACACAGGUGGUCAGGUAGAGAAUACCAAGGCGCUUGAGAGAACUCGGGUGAAGGAACUAGGCAAAAUGGUGCCGUAACUUCGGGAGAAGGCACGCUGAUAUGUAGGUGAAGUCCCUCGCGGAUGGAGCUGAAAUCAGUCGAAGAUACCAGCUGGCUGCAACUGUUUAUUAAAAACACAGCACUGUGCAAACACGAAAGUGGACGUAUACGGUGUGACGCCUGCCCGGUGCCGGAAGGUUAAUUGAUGGGGUCAGCGCAAGCGAAGCUCUUGAUCGAAGCCCCGGUAAACGGCGGCCGUAACUAUAACGGUCCUAAGGUAGCGAAAUUCCUUGUCGGGUAAGUUCCGACCUGCACGAAUGGCGUAAUGAUGGCCAGGCUGUCUCCACCCGAGACUCAGUGAAAUUGAACUCGCUGUGAAGAUGCAGUGUACCCGCGGCAAGACGGAAAGACCCCGUGAACCUUUACUAUAGCUUGACACUGAACAUUGAGCCUUGAUGUGUAGGAUAGGUGGGAGGCUUAGAAGUGUGGACGCCAGUCUGCAUGGAGCCGACCUUGAAAUACCACCCUUUAAUGUUUGAUGUUCUAACGUUGACCCGUAAUCCGGGUUGCGGACAGUGUCUGGUGGGUAGUUUGACUGGGGCGGUCUCCUCCUAAAGAGUAACGGAGGAGCACGAAGGUUGGCUAAUCCUGGUCGGACAUCAGGAGGUUAGUGCAAUGGCAUAAGCCAGCUUGACUGCGAGCGUGACGGCGCGAGCAGGUGCGAAAGCAGGUCAUAGUGAUCCGGUGGUUCUGAAUGGAAGGGCCAUCGCUCAACGGAUAAAAGGUACUCCGGGGAUAACAGGCUGAUACCGCCCAAGAGUUCAUAUCGACGGCGGUGUUUGGCACCUCGAUGUCGGCUCAUCACAUCCUGGGGCUGAAGUAGGUCCCAAGGGUAUGGCUGUUCGCCAUUUAAAGUGGUACGCGAGCUGGGUUUAGAACGUCGUGAGACAGUUCGGUCCCUAUCUGCCGUGGGCGCUGGAGAACUGAGGGGGGCUGCUCCUAGUACGAGAGGACCGGAGUGGACGCAUCACUGGUGUUCGGGUUGUCAUGCCAAUGGCACUGCCCGGUAGCUAAAUGCGGAAGAGAUAAGUGCUGAAAGCAUCUAAGCACGAAACUUGCCCCGAGAUGAGUUCUCCCUGACCCUUUAAGGGUCCUGAAGGAACGUUGAAGACGACGACGUUGAUAGGCCGGGUGUGUAAGCGCAGCGAUGCGUUGAGCUAACCGGUACUAAUGAACCGUGAGGCUUAACCUUACAACGCCGAAGGUGUUU